rnacentral:rRNA from 1 species
CGCACAGUAAACGAUGAAUACUAGCUGUUUGCGAUAUAGUGUAAGCGGCACAGCGAAAGCGUUAAGUAUUCCACCUGGGGAGUACGUUCGCAAGAAUGAAACUCAAAGGAAUUGACGGGGGCCCGCACAAGCGGAGGAACAUGUGGUUUAAUUCGAUGAUACGCGAGGAACCUUACCCGGGCUUGAAUUGCAUCUGAAUAAUGGUGAAAGUCAUUAGCUAGCAAUAGCAGAUGUGAAGGUGC